UCUGAGGAUUUUCUGGUUGCAUGUCAUUCUCUCUUCUUCGUUUCUGAUCUUGAGUUCUUCUCCCAAAUACUUAGUGUUAUUUUGAGAGAAUCUGUAAAGAAACUCUUGUGUGAGUUUCUAUUGAGGGCAGAUUGAGUUGUUUCUGUGAAAUCUGGAACUGAGUAUUCUGUAAAUUGUACUAUGCCGAUUUUAGUGGAUUCGAGUUUAAUCUUUUAUGGAUACUCAACGGGGGAUUAAGUGUUAGAAGCGGUCGCUGAACCUCCGGGGCCUUUGGCCGAAAAAUCUCUCGUGCUCUUAUUUUUUGUUUUUGUUUUGAGAAAAUCUUGAUUUUUACGUUGAGUAUUUUUAGCAUAAAUUCGAUCCUCGAACUACAAUUCUAAUCCCUAGCAAAAGUUUCGCACCUCUCUCUUGCACUCAUUUCCUUCCUAUACCGGUAGUUGACUUGAUCGUUGAAAUGUAAACGGUCGUUGAACUGUUUUGUCAGCCGGUGAUCUUUGCAUCAUAACGGUGUAUUCCAACAAGCAACUGAUGCUUAGAUGGAUGGGGAAGUGGUUGAAAUUUUGUUGGCC
rnacentral:lncRNA from 1 species